rnacentral:tRNA from 1 species
GAGGGUAUAGCUCAGUGGUAGAGUGCAUGCCUAGCAUGUACAAGGUCCUAGGUUGAAUCCCCAAUACCUCCA